rnacentral:rRNA from 1 species
GAUGAACGCUGGCGGCGUGCCUAAUACAUGCAAGUCGAGCGAACAGACGAGGAGCUUGCUCCUCUGACGUUAGCGGCGGACGGGUGAGUAACACGUGGAUAACCUACCUAUAAGACUGGGAUAACUUCGGGAAACCGGAGCUAAUACCGGAUAAUAUAUUGAACCGCAUGGUUCAAUAGUGAAAGACGGUUUUGCUGUCACUUAUAGAUGGAUCCGCGCCGCAUUAGCUAGUUGGUAAGGUAACGGCUUACCAAGGCAACGAUGCGUAGCCGACCUGAGAGGGUGAUCGGCCACACUGGAACUGAGACACGGUCCAGACUCCUACGGGGGGCAGCAGUAGGGAAUCUUCCGCAAUGGGCGAAAGCCUGACGGAGCAACGCCGCGUGAGUGAUGAAGGUCUUCGGAUCGUAAAACUCUGCUAUUAGGGAAGAACAAAUGUGUAAGUAACUAUGCACGUCUUGACGGUACCUAAUCAGAAAGCCACGGCUAACUACGUG